rnacentral:lncRNA from 1 species
GCUCAUUUCAGGGCAGCUGUCGCAAGCAUCUCCCACCCCGUCCUCAUCCCUGUCUGUCUGUAGUGGGUUGGGGACUUUAGGGCAAUUGUCCAAUCCAUUGGGGAUGCCUAGAAGACAUGGGUAGCACAAGGUUGUUACUAGAACAUGCCAUAUUCUCUCUUCUAGGUUGGUGAAAGUCCUGAACUUUGUCUCCCCACCCAGAGGACAACUGGCCAGGAAAUCUGCCUGUUUCUUGUCUCACCCUCUAGUCCACACUCUGCCUAACGCUACGCCCUACCUCACAUUCCUAUUGACAUCUGCUGCAGGUAAUCUCUCCUCACCCAGGCCAACGUCCACAAGCCUGCCUCCCUACUUCACAGAGACUUCCUAGCUUCCCUGCUUCAUCCCCACCUGAUCCAAAUUCUCACAGGUCCCCCAGCCACCCCUUCAGCCCCAGGCCUGCACCAUCCCCAUCCACGUCGUUGUCACAGGCAUCUCCUUCCCCAUUGCCAUCUGUGUCCUUCUGGUCAUUGUUGGGAACGUUGGGGCAAUUGUCACAGGCAUCACCAAAUGAAUCUGUAUCUGAGUUCUGCUGGUCUUUGUUGGGGAACAGCCGGCAGUUGUCCUGGGCAGAGGGGUGGGAGGGGAAGGGUCAGGUCUCCCCUAAAUCACUUGUCAUCUUGCACCUACCUUGUCUCUGUAUCCUUUUCUAAGAUCACACCCUUGUGAUGGACAAACUGCUCAGUACAGUCCCACCCACCCAGCCUCCUUGUCCUGGGCACGAGGUUUUUGCCUCCCUGAUUUGGAGUAUUGGGCCCUUACUAGAGAGCUGCCAGAUGAGGUAAGUGAGGCAUGGAGAGGACAGGAGGAGGGGAGAGGAGCUUCAAGGGGCAGGGCAGUCUGGGAGUCACCUCAACAUUCUUGAUCCCAUCCCCAUCAGCAUCAUCAUCACACUGGUCCCCCACACCAUCAUUAUCAGCAUCUUCCUGCCCAGAGUUGGGUGUCAAAAGGCAGUUGUCCUAAAGUUCAGGGGAAGAGGAUGGAUGAGUUCUGGCCUGACCCAGCUUGGGCUCCCCACUACGCCCCCUUGCCCGCCUGCUCCCUGCACCUGUUUGCAGUGUUUGUUGUUGUCCAUGCAGGGCAGUGCUUGGUCUGGGUAGCCAUCGAUGUCUGUGUCAGUCCCACACACGUUCCCAUUCCCAGCCCAGCCCACGUUACACUAGGGCAACACAAAGGGUAGGAGCUAGCAGUUUGGUCUGGCUCCCCUCCUCCCUCUAUUUUCCCUGCUUCAGGUCCUAUUCUCCCCACCAAACAGUUCCUGGGCCCAGGCCCACCUCUCUCCUAUGAAGGCCCCCAACCCAGGCCCUAAACAUAGCCCUACUCCUUUCCCCAGACCCUCCCUUUUCCUUCCACGCCUGAAGCCUAGCUCACCUGGCAGGACACUGCACCAUUGCGUUCAAAGAGACAGUGAGCAUGGAUGUGGCAGGGGCUGUGGGCUGGGCUGUGGCAGGUCCGGGCUGGGAGGCAGCCCUGGCUCUGGUUGCCCAGGAAACCCAGGCGGCAGGGACCACACUUGAAAGAGCCCUAAGAGUGGAGAGGCAGCAUCUUAGGAAGGAGGGUGAGCCCACCAGGCACCCAGGACCAGCACUGCUCCACCUGCGGGGUGUGGGCUGGGCACUCAAUUAUGCCAGGCAUAUCAGUAUCUCCUUUAGGUUCUCAUGACAACCUUUCAGGGUGGAUAACAGCCUCAGUUUUCAGAUGAGGAAGCUGAGGCUCAGAAAAGUUAAAUAACCUGCCAAAGAGCUAGCAAGAGGCAAACCAGUAUUCCAAACCAAGUCCAUGUGAACACCUAAUCUGUGUAGUGCCCUGGGGAGGAGGAAAGGCAGCAGGAAAUUUGAAGACCUGAAGGGGCAGACUUUGGGUGGAACCAGACCUAUGGUGGGUCUCCUCAGAUACAGCAGAGGACACUGGCCUCACAGUGGAAGCCGGGCAUGGUGUUGAUGCAGCUGGAGCCCGGGAAACAGGGGUCAGCGUGAGCACACUGGGGACCAGAUGAGAAGGCAGAGGUCAGGCCGCCCUCUGGGAAACUCAGGUCCCUGCCUGUGAUCCAGGAACCAUUGCUCCAGGUCUCCCCUUUGUGCAGCUCUCCCCACACAACUGCCUUGUGCUCCUGGUCCCCACCCCGCUUCCCUCGGGGUUCCCUCUCUCCCUCCCCAUGCCACUGGUCGCCAUCUCAAGCCCCCCUGCAGUUUCCCCAGCUCCUUCCCUGUAUGGCCUUCAGUCUUUGCCCCAGGCCUUCUGUCUCUCCCAUCUUGCAUUUCUCUUGCCUCUGACCUCUCCUAAACUCCAGAUUCCUCUCCUCCGGACCAGCAUUUAUCCCACCCUCUUGGGCGCCUCCUGACAUCCUCACCCCAGUUUUCUGUACCCUUCUGGGCUCUGCCCUCCCCCACCUCAUUGAUGUCACUGCAGUGGGUGCCGUUGCCCUGCAGGCCAGGGGGGCAGGGCCCACAGCGGUAGCCUGGGUACUCGUACACUUCCAUGCAGUCCACACCUCGGAAGCAGGGAUUGGGGCUGCAGUGGGAACGCUGCUCAUGGAAGCCUGAGGGGUGGACACAGUCAGAGCUACCCGGUGGUCACUAUUUAAGCCACCAGAAGGGAAAGCCAAAGCCAUUGGGUGGGGAACGUGGCACAGUCAUGUGGAGCCUCCCCUGCUCUCCCACUCACCGCACACCUGACACUCCAUAAUGGUGUUUCGGAUCAGGGACAUUUCCUUCACCUGGAGAAGGAUGGGGAGGAGUCAGCACUUGACAUCUGCCACCCUACCCCAGAAUCAGUGCCACCCUUCGCCAGCCCACCCAAACCUGGUCUCGUAUAUCAUCCCGCAGCUCCACCAGGAUCUGGUUGAAGAGGGUGAGUUGGGUGACCAGCGCCUUGGUCUGCUCCCCUGUCGGGACCCAGGGUGUGAGGGGCUCAGUACUGGAGCACCAGUCCUGGGCCCUCCAUGGGCAAUAAGCCAGUACCUGCCACGGCUGCCCACCCCUGCCUUUAACCCUACUACAUUCCUGACUGAAGAGGACUUAGUUUCAGGCAGCUGCCAGAGCCUGGGGCCUCCUCCCCGCUCCCCGCUUCCGCUUCAGUGUGGCCUACUCACCUAGAAUGGAGUGCAGUGCAUUGGUCACUGGAGAGGAGAAGAAAACAUAGUCAGAGGGGUGAGGUGAAGUGAAGAGAGGCCUGGUUGGUGAGAAGAAGGAAGGAAGGUUGCUUUUUUUCUCAGAUGGGCGUAUUGGAGAUUGUGGAGUCAGGUGAAAGAUUUGGAAUAACAGGGUUAGAAACCCUAGAAACAGGUGAGCCAAAGGAAUGGGUUUUAAGGGAGAGGGAGAUCAAGAAGACAGGAGUCACCAAAGGCCACAGGAUCUGUGGUCCAAUGUCAGCAAACAAGUCUCUGUGUUACCUGCACUGUGGAUGGACUCGUCCCCUUGGAAUGGACACUCACUCAGGGCUCCUACCCGGGCCAUGGACCCACCCAGAAUAAUUUUCAUAGAUUCCACAAAGCCCUGGGGGGAUAGCAGCAGAGUA